UUACAGCGAGCUCAGAAGCAGAGCAAGGAAAACAUGAAGAACGGGGAAAGUAGCUGCCGCAUGCCAAUGUGAAACUCCGAGGAGUCUAGCCAUUCUGAUCUGGCCUUCCAGGUCAUUAGGAGGCUCUGCCAUCGUGUGAGGAGGGAAAGCCUGCUGUCUGGAGAGCACACUGGUCUCCAGCGUGGGGAGAGAGAGCACUUUCGGGCUUUGCUGAGGAGGGUCUUCAGAAAAAAGAGUACUGCCAACAAGAAGGCCCAAUCAAGAUCCUCCCACAACAAGAGCAGAUUGUGAGCGUGGCAAGCUCUAUGCUGAGCACUGGAAGGACAAAGAGAGAUUGGGCACAGACUUCUCACUGAUCCAGGUGAUGAAGAGCUCACAUCUGAGAGGAUGUGACCAUGGAUGACCCACCAGAAUGUCAUGGGAUCCAGCUACAGCCAAGGAAGCACAGAGCACCGUGGGAGCGAUUUAUUGUGCUUGGGGAUGGGGAAGGGGACAUGGGAGGAGCCAUAUUGAGAAAGUAGCAUGGGUACUUGGCUUCACAGAGUGUGGCAGCUUUCAUCAGGAAGUGAUGGUGGGGGAACAGCGUCUCUGGCGGAGGGAAGCAGCAGGUGCAGAGGUGCAGAGGUGUGAGGAGUCUGUCACAUUCUGGGAAGGGAGUAUGGUUGGGUGACAAUGCAAGACAGAGAAAGCAAGGAGGGAAGGAGGGGCCUAGCCUGAGGAAUAAAGAAUAAUAAAAGCAGGAAAACAAU
rnacentral:lncRNA from 10 species